rnacentral:rRNA from 1 species
AGCAGCCGCGGUAAUUCCAGCUCCAAUAGCGUAUAUUAAAGUUGUUGCAGUUAAAAAGCUCGUAGUUGAAUUUCGGGAUCAGCAGGUUGGUCGUGCCUCUGGUAUGCACUGGUUUCGCUGAUUCCUCCUUUCUGAAGAACUGUAAUGUCAUUAAUUUGGUGUUGCAGGGAAACAGGACUGUUACUUUGAAAAAAUUAGAGUGUUUAAGGCGAGCUAACGCUUGAAUACAUUAGCAUGGAGUAAUGAAAUAGGACGUUUGAUCCUAUUUUGUUGGUUUCUAGGAUUGACGUAAUGAUUAAUAGGGAUAGUUGGGGGCAUUAGUAUUCAAUUGUCAGAGGUGAAAUUCUUGGAUUUAUUGAAGACUAACUACUGCGAAAGCAUUUGCCAAGGAUGUUUUCAUUAAUCAAGAACGAAAGUUAGGGGAUCGAAGACGAUCAGAUACCAUCGUAGUCUUAACCAUAAACUAUGCCGACUAGGGAUCGGAUGAUGUUAAUUUUUUAAUGACUCA